CACGACAUCAGUGAUGUGAUGCCCCAUGCC
rnacentral:piRNA from 1 species